GACAUGUAGGGCGGGGAGCUCAGUACCAUAUAUCAGCACGGGGGAGGAGGCUAAACUGGACUCGUGGGUCCGGAGCAUCUGACGUGGAACUGAAAAAUAAAGAAUGGGAUGCCAGGGCGGGAAGGUGAAGGGCAUAUAAUCCCAGCCUUGUUUUAAGCAGGAGUUCUCUGCCACUCAGGGCAUCUACGGUUACCCAGCGACCUACCCCAGCUGGGACCCAGGCUUGCUCACCUCCUCAGCCCAGCUCACUCUCGGUUUGGGGGGUCGUUUGGUCCUUCGGGACUCAAAGGGGGCUCUGUUCUUAGUGAUGCCUUUCCGUGACUUUGACGGAUGCCAUCAGCUGAAAGAGGGCUCGGGGGGGGCAAAAGCCACACAAGAAUGAUGCCACAGGCAGCCCCUGGGGACCCAGACCAGCCUUGGUGCCUGGCCAAGGGACCGCCGGCAGCAUCUUUCCGGGGGCUCCCCCUCUCUCCCUCAUCAGCUGGCCCAUCCCUCAGUUUCCUCAUCCAGAGAAGGGAUGCGUGAUCCCAGGAGGAGGCCUCCGAUGAUGUCAAGUGGGUGGAGGAAAUUACGAAACAAGGUACUUUGAGCCUCCCAGCGGGAAAUUGGGGUAAAUUCCUGAUAUCCGGUACUGCGUGCUUUUCUUGGUAGAGGCAUAAUUGAGGCAAGGUGGCAAAUGGUGCAAAACAGGCCCUCCUGGGGGACCUAGCAGGCUGCUAGUGACUGGAUGAUGGGGGGUGGUCUCCAGCCAGCCCCCACUUCCUGGGCCCCCUCUGAGCCUCAGUUUCUCCUUCUAGGAGGAGCAGGCUGGAUGUGACGGCUGCAGACACCUGCUGGCUUUCAGGAGAUUCCUCUCUGCUCCACCACAGGUGAGGAUGGGGGACACAGAAAAAAGGCCCCUUGUCAUUUUCUUGCCAGGAGAGAAAGGAAGGUGAGUCGUCCACAAGCUUGGCCCCAAGUGGAGCUUAAGGAGUCGCAGCUGGGAGGCCAUAUGGGGAAGUGCGUGGGUGGCUCGGCCUUUCCUGCCUCUCACUCUCGGUCGGGCCAAGUUCAGGAGAGUCCUCCUUUUCCCCCUGCCAGAGUAUCGGCUCACCACCCCCUCCUUUCUGCCUGCCCCUUCCCUCCCUCCAGACAGCAGGCAGCCCAGCUCCGUGGCAGGGCAGCAAGCCUCACUGUGGGAAGGGGACCGCCUCGGGUCUCCCCAGUGUCUGGGGGGUCUGCUGCUAAUUGGAUUGUAAAAGAUGAUCCCUCUGCACAGCUGUCUGCAAGCCAGGCCCCAGUGACACAGGGUAAAUUAAAUACAGACAAUGGGGCGGGGUUACCUGCUGAAGCUCUGUGCCAGGCUCAGACCCCAGAAGUCAGAGAGGACGGUGGCACUGAGAUGGGAGAGGAGCUGAGGCAAGGAGGAACCUCACCAAGUGCCCCAUCGGGCGCUGAGAUGGCCCCUCCCCUGCAGGCCUGCUCACAGCCCCUGGCCCUGGGCAUCUGGAAAUCAAAGCGUCCUGACCCUCUUUACCACAAUGCUCCCUGGGGCUGCUGAGCAGCUGAGCUGAGGAUGCCCUGGGCCUGCCAUCCCAUGAGGGCCCCCCCUUGCAGAGUGGAGCCCAUGGCCGGGUCCUGCUGCCCACCAUGGACUCUCACUCAGUCAUUCAAGCAUCACUUAUCCACUCAGAAUAUCCAGCAGUCUGUCUCUAAGCUGAGCACUAGGAAUAAAGAGAUGGUGUGGACAAGGCGGCAGCUCUCCUCCCACGUUUGCCACCCCAUCCACCCCGCCCCCCCGGCCAGAGUAAUAGAACUGAUUUCAGCUGGCACAUGUUCACCCACAAUGAAAGCUACAUCUUCCAGCCUCCCUUGCAGCUAGACAUGGCCAUGUGAUUACACUCUGGCCAAUCAGAUGAAGCAGAGUGUGGCGGCCCUUCCUUCAAACAACAACACAGUUGAUCCUGGCUUUCUGCCCUUCCCUCUCAGAGAUCUUCUUUCCUGCUGACUGGGAUGGAGAUGUAAGGGCCGGUGCUGAAGUGGCCACCGUGAGCAAGGUGGCUCUGGACAAAGAGGACCUAUGUGGUAGGUUAAUCAACCUCAUCCUGAGGUCAUUAUGAAGGAGCAGACCAGCCCUGACCUGCCUGACUCCAAACAGGUGUGGAAAAAAAAAAGCAAAACUGCCUUCUUUAAGCAACUGUUACUUUGGGUUUCUAUCAUUUCCAGCUGAAGAUAAUUAAAACCUACACAAGUGAUGACCCUGCAACAGGAGCAUCAGCCUUGGCUACACAGAGGGGACACGUGGCCCAGUCUCGGGGAUUAGGGGCAGCUGUGCAUGGCUGCAACCUGCAGGGUGUGCUGACUGGGAGAGGCAGGUUGGCGGGGUUCAGUGGAGGCAUUUCAGGAAGAAGGAAGUCCAGAGGGAGCUUAGUGUGUUUGGGGAGGCACUGGGUCCUUCAGGGAGGUGGGGACCCCCUGCCCUGAAGAUAAUUAAAACCUACACAAUGAAUUGCAGGACACUCAGAUAGAACAGAAGCUAGCCUCCAUUUCAAGCCUCGCUGUUUCCCCAUCACACGUUCUGGUUAUCGCCGGACAAGUUCCUCACUUGUAAGACCAGCAAAGACAGUUACUCAACCCAAGAUGCUUAAGGAAGCCCCCCAGGAUCAACGUGGUCACCCCAUCCUGCUGCCCUGAGGGUCGUCCAGUUCGGCAGACACUGGCCCAGUGCCUCCUGCUCCUGGCACUGGGAAUGCCAAGAGGCUUCAAGGUGACCACUGCCCUCGCAGCCAUCCUUGGUCAGAGGGUGUCCAGCCACGUCCGACAGCAGGCUCAGCCCGACGAUGGGCGUGGUGUGCAGGACGGUCCACGGGCCUCCACCCGGGAACUCCGUGGUAAAGAUGUGACUCAGGAAACAGGAGUGAGCGGCCACGCUCAGGCCACCUCCGAUGCCUUCUUCUCCGUGGAUCAUUGAAUUACAUGCAUAUUUCAGUGAAGAUGAUUAUCUCCUUGCUGGUUUCGGAAGAUGUAUUUAGGGGAGGUAUUUCAAUUCUGUUGUCAUUUAAAACUAAAAAUCAAAACAUCAUUUUUGAUGUCCAGGGUUCUUUCUUCCGCCGAAAUACACACUGUGGUGUGUUACAAUCAUGUCUCCACCAUUUGCGCCUUAGAUGUACUUGUAGAGAGGAGCAAAGGGGCUCUAAAUCACUUGCACAUUUCAUGUUGACAGCGUCCCACGCUAGCACGACGGAUGGGAAGGGAGGCUCCAGCUUGGCUUUUAAUACUGGUGACCCAGGCUCACCCACUCACAGGCGCUCCCCACCUGAUCUCAGUGGCAGCUGCUCUUCCGCCCUCUACUCCGUGGACUCGGUGUGCUUAAAAGUUGUACAGGGUGAAUGGGAGUCUUUGGCUUUUCCAAGUGAGCCUCCCCGCCUAGGCAGGACGAGCUGCCUUCCAAUUCCUUGGGCAGGUGAUGACAACCAGAGCUAACUGACACUUACUGAGCACAUACUGUGCACCAGGUCCUUGUCUAAAUGCUCUCUGUUCCCUGAUGGGUUUGACUGUCCUAAUAACCCCAAUCCAGGUUGCUGGGAUUAAAUCCCAGUUCUGCUGAGCUGUGUGACUCUGGGCAAAUACUAAACCUCUCUGUGCCUCAGAAGGAUCCAUGGAGAAAGUAGCAGGGCCAGAAGGGAUUACAUCUGCAGUGCUCUUAAGAGG
ensembl:lncRNA